GAUGAAGAACGUAGCGAAAUGCGAUAAGUAGUGUGAAUUGCAGAAUUCCGUGAAUCAUCGAAUCUUUGAACGCACAUUGCGCCUUCUGGUAUUCCGGAAGGCAUGCCUGUUCGAGAGUCAUUAACAACCGUUUCGAUCCCUUUCUUUCAGAAAUUACAAAGAGGAAAAGGGUUUGGUUAUGGUGGAGGAGGGAAAGGGAGCGUUUAGCCUGUAAAAAAAGAGGCUGUGUUCCGCCUCCUCCCCAAAAUUGUACAGGCGGUCGUGUGCGCCCACGCAUCGAGGUGUUGUAAAAGCUGCCACGGCACUUUUCACCUGUGCAGUGCGAGAUUGGCCAGCCGGUUUAAAAACCCCUCCAAACAAUCAAAGGUUGACCUCGGAUCAGGUAGGGAUACCCGCUGAACUUAAGCAUAUCAAUAAGCGGAGGA
rnacentral:misc_RNA from 1 species